GUUGAACGAAUGAAAGGACAACCUUUUUUUUGUUAGGUUUGGUUUUCCACAACCGCCCUCUCACAUGUAGUAUAUAUAUAAACUCCAUGCAGACUGGAACUGUACGGCAAAUAGUCAACAACAUGGCAUUGACGACGGUUGCUGCUGCUGUGGGUGCAGGUGUUUCAGUGGUUGCGGCUCCAGUGGUUCUGGGAGCAUUGGGCUUCACCUCAGCUGGGAUAGCAGCAGGAUCCAUUGCUUCAAGCGCGAUGUCAAUUUCAGCCAUCGCCAACGGAGGAGGGGUGGUAGCAGGUGGCGUGGUGGCUGUCU